rnacentral:rRNA from 1 species
AUUGAACGCUGGCGGCAGGCUUAACACAUGCAAGUCGAACGGUAACAUAAAGAAGCUUGCUUCUUUGAUGACGAGUGGCGGACGGGUGAGUAAUGCUUGGGAAUCUGGCUUAUGGAGGGGGAUAACUACGGGAAACUGUAGCUAAUACCGCGUAGAAUCGGGAGAUGAAAGUGUGGGACCUUCGGGCCACAUGCCAUAGGAUGAGCCCAAGUGGGAUUAGGUAGUUGGUGAGGUAAAGGCUCACCAAGCCGACGAUCUCUAGCUGGUCUGAGAGGAUGACCAGCCACACUGGGACUGAGACACGGCCCAGACUCCUACGGGAGGCAGCAGUGGGGAAUAUUGCGCAAUGGGGGCAACCCUGACGCAGCCAUGCCGCGUGAAUGAAGAAGGCCUUCGGGUUGUAAAGUUCUUUCGGUAGCGAGGAAGGCAUUUAGUUUAAUAGACUAGGUGAU